UACGGAGGAUCCAAGCGUUAUCCGGAUUUAUUGGGUUUAAAGGGUGCGUAGGUGGUUUAUUAAGUCAGGGGUGAAAGACGGCAGCUUAACUGUCGCAGUGCCUUUGAUACUGAUGAACUUGAAUAAACUAGAGGUAGGCGGAAUGUGACAAGUAGCGGUGAAAUGCAUAGAUAUGUCACAGAACACCAAUUGCGAAGGCAGCUUACUAUGGUUUGAUUGACACUGAGGCACGAAAGCGUGGGGAUCAAACAGG
rnacentral:rRNA from 1 species